rnacentral:rRNA from 1 species
UACGAAGGGGGCUAGCGUUGUUCGGAAUUACUGGGCGUAAAGCGUGCGCAGGCGGCUUCUCAAGUCAGGGGUGAAAGCCCAGAGCUCAACUCUGGAAUUGCCUUUGAGACUGAGUGGCUUGAGUACGAGAGAGGUGGGUGGAAUUCCCAGUGUAGAGGUGAAAUUCGUAGAUAUUGGGAAGAACACCGGUGGCGAAGGCGGCUCACUGGCUCGUAACUGACGCUCAUGCACGAAAGCGUGGGGAGCAAACAGG